AGAAAAUCCUAAGAGCCAUAGCCGUCUCCCGCUCGGUUAGGGUUUGGUGCUACUAUGGUCAAGCGAGCUCGAACCAGUGUCUCUCUCCUCACUUCGUUAAGUCACCCCAAAGCUAGUAUCGGAGCUAUGAUGCUAAUCCAGUUUGGUCUAGGAGUCUUCUGCCAAACCCUUCCAGAAGCGAGAGGUUCUCGCGGUCAACAGGGGAAUGGUGACUCCGCUGUGUAGCCCGCCUUGGCUGGAUCCUGAUCCAUGAUCUUUCUUUUAGGGCCACGGCCUAUGUAGCAUCUGUCAUUUACAUUUCAGUUUGAUUUCUGUAGAAUAUUUUAUAUCUGUUUCCUUUAGCACCGUUACGCAUUUUGGUUGGUUGUAUGAAAUUACUUUUAAACUCCGGAACUGCACCAAGAUAUUAUUCUAGUGUGACGCUUCUUUUAAUUACGCUAUUAAUUAAAUGGGGUGUUACACUUA